rnacentral:rRNA from 1 species
GUUAGGAAUAUUGGACAAUGGGCGCAAGCCUGAUCCAGCCAUGCCGCGUGAGUGAUGAAGGCCUUCGGGUUGUAAAGCUCUUUAGUCCACGAAUGUAAUGACUGUAGUGGAAGAAUAAGCCCCGGCUAACUUCGUGCCAGCAGCCGCGGUAAUACGAAGGGGGCGAGCGUUAUUCGGAAUCACUGGGCGUAAAGCGUGCGUAGGCUGUUUUGUAAGUCAGAAGUGAAAGACCAGGGCUGAACCCUGGAAUUGCUUUUGAAACUACAAGACUCGAAUUCGGGAGAGGAUAGCGGAAUUGUCAGUGUAGCAGUGAAAUGCGUAGAUAUUGACAGGAACACCAGUGGCGCAAGCGGCUAUCUGGACCGAUAUUGACGCUGAGGCACGAAAGCGUGGGGAGCAAACAGGAUUAGAUACCCCAGUAGUCC